UACGAAGGGGGCUAGCGUUGUUCGGAAUUACUGGGCGUAAAGCGCACGUAGGCGGAAUGUUAAGUCAGGGGUGAAAUCCCGGGGCUCAACCCCGGAACUGCCUUUGAUACUGGCAUUCUCGAGUCCGGAAGAGGUGAGUGGAAUUCCUAGUGUAGAGGUGAAAUUCGUAGAUAUUAGGAAGAACACCAGUGGCGAAGGCGGCUCACUGGUCCGGUACUGACGCUGAGGUGCGAAAGCGUGGGGAGCAAACAGGG
rnacentral:rRNA from 1 species